AAGCGUCACCAGGGGUGCCCACGUCUAGGCUUUAGCAGCCGAAAGCGGGGCUGAGAGGGCCUUUUUUACGGCCUAACCCUAGGAACCUGAUCUGGUUCAUACCAGCGGAGGGAGAGUGACAGGUGCGGAAA
rnacentral:ncRNA from 2 species